rnacentral:rRNA from 1 species
UACGUAGGGUGCAAGCGUUGUCCGGAAUUAUUGGGCGUAAAGAGCUCGUAGGCGGUCUGUCGCGUCGGCUGUGAAAACUCGGGGCUCAACCCCGAGCCUGCAGUCGAUACGGGCAGACUAGAGUGCUGUAGGGGAGACUGGAAUCCUGGUGUAGCGGUGAAAUGCGCAGAUAUCAGGAGGAACACCGGUGGCGAAGGCGGGUCUCUGGACCACAACUGACGCUGAUGCGCGAAAGCUAGGGGAGCAAACAGG